GUCUCUGUGUCUGUCUCUGUGUCUGUCUCUCCGUGUCUCUCUGUCUGUCUCUGUCUCUCUGCAGGUUUAUCCUCCUGGCCUGUGACGGUUUGUUCAAAGUGUUUUCUGCUGAUGAAGCUGUAAAAUUCGUCCUCGGCGUCCUGCAGGAGGGGAGCGUGGAGCCGCGGCCGGGGCUGACGGAGGAGGAGGUGAAGUUUGAAGCUGCUUGUCAGCAGUUGGCCAGCGAGGCGGUGAGGCGAGGCUGCGCCGACAACGUCACUGUGAUCCUGCUCUCUGUCAGCUUCUGAACACACACACACACACACACACACACACUCACACACACACACACACACACACACACAGCUGGCCUCCUCGUUGGUUUUCCAAUAAAAACAGUUUUUUCUUUAUCUCGGCUGUAGGACUGACUUAAUCUGCGUUUGUGUCUUUGCUCAACUGUUGGUAUCUUCCAAACUCAUUAGAAUAUAAAAUAUACUUUAAAUAAAGA